rnacentral:rRNA from 1 species
UACGUAGGGUCCAAGCGUUAAUCGGAAUUACUGGGCGCAAAGCGUGCGCAGGCGGUGAUGUAAGACAGGUGUGAAAUCCCCGGGCUUAACCUGGGAACUGCAUUUGUGACUGCAUUGCUGGAGUGCGGCAGAGGGGGAUGGAAUUCCGCGUGUAGCAGUGAAAUGCGUAGAUAUGCGGAGGAACACCGAUGGCGAAGGCAAUCCCCUGGGCCUGCACUGACGCUCAUGCACGAAAGCGUGGGGAGCAAACAGG